rnacentral:rRNA from 1 species
AUGUACAAAGGCGCCAAAGGCGGUUGCAGUGUGGUGCUUGAGGCGGUAGCCACACAGGACCUCUGGAUUUGGCACUCCUUCUUUGGUAUGCCAGUAACUCACAAUGACAUCAACGUGCUGCAGUGCUCUCCUGUUUUUGCCAAGCUCGUUGAGGGCCAUUCUCCUCCGGUGAACUUCGAGAUCAAUGGGCACCAAUACAACAAGGGGUACUAUCUAGCUGACGGCAUCUAUCCGAGAUGGUCGACAUUUGUGAAGACGAUCUCAAGCCCUGUGGCAGGAGGCAAGAACGCCUGGUUUGCGAAGGUUCAGGAGGCUUGCAGGAAGGAUGUCGAGCGGGCAUUUGGUGUGCUCCAAUCUCGAUUCGUUGUUGUUCGGUACCCCGCUCAGACCUGGUCGAAAGAUCAAAUGUGGGAGAUCAUGACUUGCUGUGUCAUCUUGCACAACAUGAUCAUCGAGAGCGAGCAAGAAGACCCAGUGUUUGACACUGAACCAUACUACAGGCAGGGUCCUCUAGCCGAAGUUGAUCACCAGCUACCGGCAACUUGGACUGCCUAUCUCAGUAUGCGUCAGGAGAUCCGAGACCCACAGGUGCAUCAUCAACUGCAGAAAGAUCUGAUUGAGCACCUAUGGAGGCUCAAGGGGGACGCCGCGUGA